rnacentral:rRNA from 1 species
AACGAACGCUGGCGGCAGGCUUAACACAUGCAAGUCGAACGCCCUGGCAACAGGGAGUGGCAGACGGGUGAGUAACGCGUGGGAACCUACCCAGAACUUCGGAAUAACACAGGGAGACUUGUGCUAAUACCGGAUACGCCCUACGGGGGAAAGGAUUUAUCGGUUUUGGUAUGGGCCCGCGUAAGAUUAGCUAGUUGGUGAGGUAAUGGCUCACCAAGGCGACGAUCUUUAGCUGGUCUGAGAGGANGAUCAGCCACACUGGGACUGAGACACGGCCCAGACUCCUACGGGAGGCAGCAGUGGGGAAUCUUGCGCAAUGGCCGAAAGGCUGACGCAGCGACGCCGCGUGUGGGAGGACGCC